rnacentral:misc_RNA from 1 species
CUAGAGAGAUUAUUCUUUAUCGUUGCGAAACGAUAGGAUAUUCGAUGUUUUAUGUUGACUUCAUGUUUUUACUUUUUGAAACCCAAACGAUAGAGUGAGGGCGAAGCCCUGAGGCUAAAGGAAUUUUUAGUCCCGUAGCUCAGUUGGUUAGAGCACUACACUGAUAAUGUAGGGGUCCGCAGUUCAAAUCUGCGCGGGACUACUAUAUCGUUUUUGGAUGAUUAAAUUUCGGAUUUGCUUAACUGAUUCCAUUCAGUCAGCAAAUUUUUUUUGAAAAUUAGUCUGACAAUUAAAUUUUUUGGGGAAUUAGCUCAGCUGGCUAGAGCACCUGCCUUGCACGCAGGGGGUCAACGGUUCGAAUCCGUUAUUCUCCACCAGUUCCGGUAAACGGAAAUUAGUUCUUUUUCAACUUUAGCAGAAUUAGCUCAAUAGGCAGAGCGCACCUGUAAUACUCAGGCAAGGUCAUCGGUUCGAAUCCGAUAUUCUACACAAUAUCCGCCAUUUUUAGCGGGUUAAAGUUCUUUGACAUAUUGAAAUGAGAGAGAAUACAUAAAAUAGCGCGGUGUUAAAAAUUUAACAUCGAGCCAGC